GUGGGGAAUCUUCCGCAAUGGACGAAAGUCUGACGGAGCGACGCCGCGUGAGUGAAGAAGGCCUUCGGGUCGUAAAGCUCUGUCAUCAGGGACGAACGGCCGGUGGAGUGGAAAGCCACCGGAUUGACGGUACCUGAGAAGGAAGCCACGGCUAACUACGUGCCAGCAGCCGCGGUAAUACGUAGGUGGCAAGCGUUGUCCGGAAUUAUUUGGCGUAAAGCGCGCGCAGGUGGGAUCUUAAGUCCAUUUUGAAAGUUCGGAGCUCAACUCCGUGAUGGGAUGGAAACUGGGAUUCUUGAGUACCGGAGAGGAAAGCGGAAUUCCCCGUGUAGCGGUGAAAUGCGUAGAUAUGGGGAGGAACACCAGUGGCGAAGGCGGCUUUCUGGACGGUGUCUGACACUGAGGCGCGAAAGCUAGGGGAGCGAACGGGAUUAGAAACCCCAGUAGUCC
rnacentral:rRNA from 1 species